GGAGGAGACCUGCAUGAUACAACAUGUUCAUCCACCCCAGCGGAUUACUUUUUAUCAUGCAAACCAGAUUGUAAAGGAAACACCCAGCAUACCGAAUCUUCAUCCAUCCACUGACCGAGCACCUUUAGAGACAAAUUGUUGUGCACAACGGAGCCUUAUUCUACUUGUGUGACAGAAAAGAUGGCAGAAAAACAUUAAGGCUGUAGCAGAGUAUGAGAAGUUAUGCAAGGAACUGCAAGAUGGUCGCAUGUUGGGUUUUACGUCGAAUACCUCAAAG